rnacentral:lncRNA from 1 species
UCUACUGCCCGGGUUUCGCGGCCGGUCCUAAAUGGAGCGAUGCCUCCAGAACCGACAGCGCUUUCUGAACAAGCUGUGACCCAAAAUGCACGUAUUUAUGAUGUCUGCAGGAUCUGCUYCGUUGCAUCCGUUGCCCUUCGCGAGGGGCCCGCACCGAACAAUAGGGUUACUGUGCGCUGUCGAACGACCAGCCGCUAAUUAGGUCAGGAAUAGAAGGAGCAAAGGGAGAGAUGAUUUGGCUGUCGCUCCUGAGACCCGUAUGACCAGGAAGGUGCUGCAUCUGGCUUCCCCGUCGUCUGUAAGGACACGGUUUGUACGUUUGUGACUAGGAAGGCAAUUUUUAAAAGAAUAUGUCACUGCCCAGUUGCUUUGGAGUUAAGUUAGGCUCCACUAAAUCAAUUGGCCUGCCUGACCGAUAUUUUCCGCCUGUCGACAUGCAGCCUGCUUUGCACUUUUGGCAGUUGUUUCAGUAAAAAAAUUCGAUGCGCUCGUGCACAGMGGCCAAGGACAGGGCGACUGCUGCGAACGGGAGGCAAACUCAGGGCCUGCGACCUGCCGUGACGGGGGAUCGCAACUUCCAGAGCAGCGUCGCGYGCUCCCCUGUCCCGCGUGGAAGGAGGCAGCGCUGGUGUUUCUUCUUCUCCCUCUGCAACCUCCCUCCCCUCUGCUCUGCAGCACCUGGAGCAGGAGAAGCACGAGCUGAGGCGGCGGUUCGAGAACCGGGAGGGCGAGUGGGAAGGCCGGGUGUCGGAGCUGGAGAGCGACGUGAAGCAGCUGCAGGACGAGCUGGAGAAGCAGCAGGUCCACCUGCGCGAGGCGGACCGGGAGAAGACGCGGGCCGUGCAGGAGCUCUCCGAGCAGAACCAAAGACUCCUGGACCAGCUCAGCAGGGCGUCGGAGGUGGAGCGGCAGCUCUCCCUGCAGGUCCACGCGCUCCGGGAGGAUUUCCGGGAGAAGAGCUCCUCGAGCAGCCAGCACAUCGUGCGGCUCGAGAGCCUCCAGGCCGAGCAGGUCCUCGAAAUCAAGAUGCUGACGGACAGAAAGCGGGAGCUGGAGCAUCGCCUCAGCGCCAUGAUGGAGGAGAACGACCUGCUGCAGGGCACCGUGGAGGAGCUGCAGGACCGCGUGCUGGUGCUGGAGAGGCAAAGCCACGACAAGGACCUGCAGGUGAGCAGCCCCGCCGCCGGAGAAGGGGAACUGGGCCUGGGGUCGGACCAACCACUGGACUAGUCAGGAAUUUGGAGACAGAACAACUGGAAGAGU